UUAGCUUGCUAAGUUUGAUGGCGACCGGCGCACGGGUGAGUAACACGUAUCCAACCUGCCGAUGACUCGGGGAUAGCCUUUCGAAAGAAAGAUUAAUACCCGAUGGCAUAGUUCUUCCGCAUGGUAGAACUAUUAAAGAAUUUCGGUCAUCGAUGGGGAUGCGUUCCAUUAGGUUGUUGGCGGGGUAACGGCCCACCAAGCCUUCGAUGGAUAGGGGUUCUGAGAGGAAGGUCCCCCACAUUGGAACUGAGACACGGUCCAAACUCCUACGGGAGGCAGCAGUGAGGAAUAUUGGUCAAUGGACGAGAGUCUGAACCAGCCAAGUAGCGUGAAGGAUGACUGCCCUAUGGGUUGUAAACUUCUUUUAUACGGGAAUAAAGUGAGGCACGUGUGCCUUUUUGUAUGUACCGUAUGAAUAAGGAUCGGCUAACUCCGUGCCAGCAGCCGCGGUAAUACGGAGGAUCCGAGCGUUAUCCGGAUUUAUUGGGUUUAAAGGGAGCGUAGGCGGACGCUUAAGUCAGUUGUGAAAGUUUGCGGCUCAACCGUAAAAUUGCAGUUGAUACUGGGUGUCUUGAGUACAGUAGAGGCAGGCGGAAUUCGUGGUGUAGCGGUGAAAUGCUUAGAUAUCACGAAGAACUCCGAUUG
rnacentral:rRNA from 1 species